ensembl:lncRNA
UACCAGAUGAUUAGGUUGUCGUCCCAGUCCGCCCCUGAUACCAGAUUAUUAGGUUGUUGUCCCUGUCCGCCCCUGAUACCAGAUGAUUAGUUUGUCGUCCCUGUCCGCCCCUGAUACCAGAAGAUUAGGUUGUGGUCUUUGUCUGCCCCUGAUACCAGAUGAUUAGGUUGUGUUCCCAGUCCGCCCCUGAUACCAGAUGAUUAGGUUGUGGUCCUGGUCCGCCCCUGAUACCAGAUGAUUAGGUUGCAGUCCCUGUCCGCCCCUGAUACCAGAUGAUUAGGUUGUGGUCCCUGUCCGCCCUUGAUACCAGAUGAUUAGGUUGUGGUCCCUGUCCGCCCCUGAUACCAGAUGAUUAGGAUGUGGUCCCUGUCCGACCCUGAUACCAGAUAUUUAGUUUGUGUUCCCAGUCCGCCCCUGAUACCAGAUGAUUAGGUUGUGUUCCCAGUCCGCCCCUGAUACCAGAAGAUUAGGUUGUUG